GAUGUUAGCGGCGGACGGGUGAGUAACACGUGGGUAACCUGCCUGUAAGACUGGGAUAACUCCGGGAAACCGGAGCUAAUACCGGAUAGUUCCUUGAACCGCAUGGUUCAAGGAUGAAAGACGGUUUCGGCUGUCACUUACAGAUGGACCCGCGGCGCAUUAGCUAGUUGGUGAGGUAACGGCUCACCAAGGCGACGAUGCGUAGCCGACCUGAGAGGGUGAUCGGCCACACUGGGACUGAGACACGGCCCAGACUCCUACGGGAGGCAGCAGUAGGGAAUCUUCCGCAAUGGACGAAAGUCUGACGGAGCAACGCCGCGUGAGUGAUGAAGGUUUUCGGAUCGUAAAGCUCUGUUGUUAGGGAAGAACAAGUGCAAGAGUAACUGCUUGCACCUUGACGGUACCUAACCAGAAAGCCACGGCUAACUACGUGCCAGCAGCCGCGGUAAUACGUAGGUGGCAAGCGUUGUCCGGAAUUAUUGGGCGUAAAGGGCUCGCAGGCGGUUUCUUAAGUCUGAUGUGAAAGCCCCCGGCUCAACCGGGGAGGGUCAUUGGAAACUGGGAAACUUGAGUGCAGAAGAGGAGAGUGGAAUUCCACGUGUAGCGGUGAAAUGCGUAGAGAUGUGGAGGAACACCAGUGGCGAAGGCGACUCUCUGGUCUGUAACUGACGCUGAGGAGCGAAAGCGUGGGGGAGCGAACAGGAUUAGAUACCCUGGUAGUCCACGCCGUAAACGAUGAGUGCUAAGUGUUAGGGGGUU
rnacentral:rRNA from 1 species